UAAGCUCAGGGAGGUCCUGGGGACCACCUGCGCUGUGGUUACGGGAAGGGCGGGCACUAUGGGCUGUGGGGAGCAGAGGCCGAGUGGGUGAGGUCCCCUGGGCCAGUGAGGGCCACCGACCCAGCCACAGCCCUGCAGCCCUGGCUCUGGAAUAAGUUUUCAACUUUUUUUUCUUUCUUUCUUUCUUUCUUUCUUUCUUUCUUUCUUUCUUUCUUUCUCUCUCUCUUUCUUUCUCUUUCUUUCUCUUUCUUUCUUUCUUUCUUUCUUUCUUUCUUUCUUUCUCUCUUUCUCUUUCUCAAGGUACAAAGGUUGAGUCCAGGGUCUUUACAAUGAGCUAUACCCCUAGGCCUUUUUAAUUUUUUAUUUCAAGACAGGGUCUCACGCAGGGAAAGAAGUCUCAAAGUGAUCGGGCCAGUUACUGUGCCACCAAGAUCCUGAGAAACGCUGCAAGAAAAACACCCUGUGGUGAAGCUCGUAGGACGUGGGAUUGUGUCCAGAAAAUGCCAAACCGAUGGAUUACUUGGUGCCUUCUCGAGAUCCUACGUGGACCACCCUUGACCAAUGGUGGAUUUGGACCUCCCAUCACAAAUGGCCUCUAACCCCUUCUCCAUGCUCUGGGGAGCGCUCUUCCCCUACCUAGCGCCCCUCCUGGGGCCCCUAGCUGCCCUGUUGCUUCUCCUCUCUGUGGGUCCUUGUAUUUUUCAGAGGAUUAUGGUGAUCAUUCAUAACCAGAUACACGCGUUUAUGACAAAGCCCAUUCAGCUACACUAUCACUAGCUAGAAAUGGCAAAUUAAGAAACCUACAGGGAACAAGUGGCCCAUAUGACAAUGUGGCCUAACUGCCCCAAGGCAAUGGACAGGCAGCCGGAGACGGGCAACUAGGACAUACAUAUUACACCACCAGCCACCUAACACAGGCACAGGACCAACUGCUGUCCUGUAAGCCCAUGACGGGUAAGGCCCGGUUGGGUUCAUGUAAUUAGGUCCUUGACCUAAGAGAGGUGCUGUCCUCACACAGCCUGCCAUACUCCUGACUAAAAAAUAUAGAAAGGGAGGAGAUGUAGGGAGCGGCGCGACAGCCCCGCUCCUGUUUCUCCACCUCUCCCUCCUAUGGGCACAUAGUGCGCCUGCCUACAUUAACCAUAAUCCUCUCCUACUUACGUCACGUACAGGGACGUGACGAUGACCCUUCAGAGAUCACCCCAUAGCCUCUUCUUGUCCCAUCGGCCCACCCUUGCCCUAUAAAAGCAGCGACCACUUUAUUAAUAAAUGAGACUUGAUUGGA